rnacentral:lncRNA from 1 species
GGCUAUCCAUAUUCAAAGGCUAAAAUGAUAAGAACAAACUUGGGCUACUAACAAAGUUCUACGCUAUCUUGGAGAGAAUGACUACAUCAACUAUGGAUUUUGGUGGUGCUUUCUCCUCUUUUUUGUUUUCUGGAUGAGCAAGCUUCAGUAAGAAGCUAUCGUCGAACCGGCUUGGGUUUCUCAGGAUAUCGUCGAUGAAACUCCUGUACCUUUAGCGGCGCAUUCGUGAGAUUUUUGACCGGCUCCCAUGUUCGUUCAUUAAUAUCGUAACCGCUCCAAUGCACAAAGUAUUCUAAUUUAUCCCGUCUUUGCCGUGAAUCCAGGACCUUUUCCACCUCGUAUUCUUCGUGGUUCUCUAUUUCUAUGCUAGGUGGUGGACAUUGUACUCUUCCAGGAAAAGACGAUUCUCGAUAAGGCUCCAACAAAGAAACAUGAAAGACAGGAUGUACCUUCAUAGUAGCUGGUAACUCCAGACGAUACGCUACAGGAUUGAUCUGCUUCUGGAUAACAAAUGGUCCCAAUCUCCGAUAGUCCAAUUUGUCACAUUGCUGCUUGGUCUUAAUAUUUCGUCGAAGCAGCCAAAUUUUGUCUCCAAUCGUGAAUUUAGGUACCUGAUUCUGAAAUUUAUCCGUCGACGCCUUGUAAGAUUCUUGGGCAGUUUGCAAUUGAAGCUACAAUGUAGUUUGAAGCUGCGAAAGCUCCUUCACCAAUCCUUCAGCUGCCGAAUUGUUAAUCGUUGACGAACUCCAUAAGUCAAGCUUCGGAUGGUAUCCAUAAUUGGAAAAGAAUGGCGUUUGUUGAGUUGACGCAUGAAGGGUGUUGUUAUAUGCGAACUCGGCUAGCGGUAGAUAUGCGACCCGAUCAUCUUGUUGAUAAUUGAUGGUGCAACGUAAAUAUUGCUCUAAAAUUUGAUUCAUCCGUUCUGUUUUGGCCGUUUGUUUGAGGAUGAAAUGCCGAAGAAAGCUUGAUAUCCACCUUCAAUAUUUCAAAAAGAGAUUUCCAAAACUUUGACACAAACUGGGUUCCUCGAUCCGAUACGAUAUCAUCUGGUAGACCAUGAUAUCGAUACACAUUAUCAAGAAAGAGUCUUGCUGUGUCUUCGCUUGACGAUGUCUUCUUGCAAGGGACAAAAUGCGCCAUCUUUGUAAGCCGGUCUACGACAACAAAAAUGCUGUCAAAUGAAUUCGAUGGUGGUAGAUCCGUAAUAAAGUCCAUGGAAACCGAAGACCAUGGUCGGCGCGGAAUAGGCAAUGGCUGUAGAAGUCUAUAAGGCCGAUGUCGAGGGUUUUUGGAUCUUGAACAAAUGUCACAAGAUACAACAAAAUCUUUCACAUCCUUCCACAUUUGAGGCCACCAGAAAUCGCGGGAAAUAAGUUCCAAGGUCUUAUUGAAUCCAAAAUGUCCCGCAACUGGAAAGUCAUGACGAGAUUGAAGAACUCGGAGUCGUGUUGGCCUUUUUGGGAUAUACAACCGCCCUUCGAAAUAUACUAGAUCUCCUUCCAUCUUGAAUUUAUCAUCACUAGCAUGUUGCUUGAUAUCAAGGGCCAAAGAAUCUUCAAUGGUUGCGGCCCGUACCUGGUCGAGGAAGUCAGCAUCAAUUGGUACAAUAGCUGCAUUGAGCCGAAGUUUCUCUGGCUUCAACAAUGUCGUGCACUGUUGAUCAAAUGCUGCAUCUCCAGCCUUUGGCGUGAGAUAUGAUCUCCUUGAUAAUGCAUCGGACAACCCUUGUUGCUUCCCAGGCCGAUAAGUAAUAACAAAGUCAAACCUGGAUAGCGACAUACUCCACCGAGCUUGACGCCGAUUCAAAACUCGAGCCGACAUAAAAUACUCCAAAUUCUUGUGAUCCAUAUAUACGGUCACUGGAUGUGCAGUUCCUUCGAGAAAGUGGCGCCACUCUUGGAAAGAAUCUACUAUAGCAAGGAGUUCCUUAUCGUGGAUCUCAUAGUUGAUCUCAGCAGCAGAGAAUUUUCGAGAAUAGAACGCAACUGGAUGGAGCUUCUCAUCUACGCCCAUCUGGAAAAGUACACCUCCCAAAGCAAAAUCCGAAGCAUCUGUCUCCAAAUAAAAGGCCUUUGUAAAGUCCGGAUGUACCAAGAUUGGAGUUGUAGUAAAUACCAUCUUAAAAUCUUGAAAUGCUUUUUCUGCGAUAGGUCCCCAUUCGAGCUUGUCCUUGUACGUUAACCGAAUGAGGGGGGCAGCAACUUGAGAAUAAUUCUUGAUGAAGAUCCGAUAGUAGUUAGUAAAUCUAAGAAAACAUUGUACGUCCCUAACCGUCUUCGGAACUUCCCAAGACAUGAUUGCUUCCACCUUCUUUGGAUCCAUCUUCAAGCCUUCCGUAGUCGCAAUGAAUCCCAAAAACUCUAUCUCAGUUUGGUGAAAUAAGCACUUCUCCAAUUUGGCAUAGAGUCCUCGCUCCUGUAGUUUUUUGAGUACCAGACGAACGUGCUUCUCAUGUUCUUCCUCGUUCUUAGAAAAUAUCAAAAUAUCAUCUAAAUAGAUGACAAAAAAAUCAUCUAGAUGCUCUCGAAAGAUGUCAUUCAUCAUGUGUUGAAAGACCGCUGGAGCAUUAGUAAGACCAAAUGGCAUGACAUUGUAUUCAAAAUGGCCAUACCUUGUUCGGAACGCUGUCUUCCAUUCAUCUCCUUCCUUAAUUCGCACAAGGUUGUAAGCUCCCCUUAGGUCAAUCUUUGUAAAGAUCCUUGCACGCCCAAGUUGUUCUAGAAGACCAGAGAUCAAAGGCAGUGGGUAGCGAUUCUUUUUUGUCACCUUGUUGAGACCUGGAUAGUCCACACACAUCCGUAGUGAGCCAUCUUUCUUCUUCAGAAAUAAGAUUGGUGCCCCAGCUGGCGACUUCGAAUGACGGAUAAAGUUCUUGGCUAGAUUCUCGUCAAUGUACUUCCGCAACUCAGUCAACUCCGUCUGCGACAAAUUGUAGAUUGGUCCAAAAGGUGGUUGUACUCCUUCUUGCAAUUCAAUGGUACAGUCAUAGGGUCGAUGCUCUGGCAGCAUAUCAGCAUUCUUCUUUUCAAAGACAUCUUUGAAUUCUUCAUACUGCUUUGGAAUAACCAAAGUCGGAGUUGCAUCUUCUCGAGUCGGAGUUGCGAAGAUGACAAGAGGUGUAUUUUGCUUGGCUUCCUUCAUGAAAGCCCUUGCACCUAUAAACAAGGAUUUGUUUCUAGACAUUGUCUUGGCAGAUUCCACCUUCAAGGAGUUUGUUGGAAAUGUCACUUUCCGCAACUUCCAAUCUAUCAAUGGAUUAUAUCUAUCAAGCCAAGAUAGUCCCAAAAUGAUAGGACAUGAAGGGAUCUUGAUAACAUUAAACACAAUAUUGCUCUCAUGGUUUUCAAGACGUACCUUCAAUGGUUUAGUUUCAUGGAUAACAUUGCCCGAAGACAAUGGUCGUCCGUCUAUGACUUCUACAUGGACAGGCUUAAGUUUCUUUACAAGAGAAAUAUUAUGAAGCUUUGCAAACUCUUCAUCUAUAAAGCAAGCGGAUGCACCCGAGUCUAAUAAAGCAUCGACUUGUAGUUCUUGAAUACCCAGAUGUAAAGGUACCAUAAAACAAUCUGAAGGUUGAGCUGAGAGAGAGGGACCUUGAUUAAUUUUGGAUGUUGAGAUGUCCAGCCGCACGGUCCCUAUUGUGGCUGGGCGUCCUUGUUUUCCUGCAUGCUUGUACUCCUGAGUCUUGUUGUUUGAGGCUUUUGUUUCUUCCGACAAUCUACAACUUUAUGGCCCGCUUCUCCGCAAUAUAAACACAAGUUUUGUUCAAACCGUCGCUUCCUUUCCUCAGCUGUGAGGGGUUUGAAACAUACCGCAUCAAUUUGCAUGGGUUCAGGAUCUGUGGAGUGAUUCUCUGGACCUUUUGAAAAUGUAGCAAAUGCUCCAUCAUUUCUCCAGCGUGAUCGUCUUUCUUGUCGUAAUUCAAAGAGGCGGUUGUCACAAAUAAUUGCCUGAGAUAUAAGUUCUUCUAAAGUAUCCGCCUUAGGCAUGGUGAUCAAUAAGUUCUUGACAUCAUCUCUCAGUCCAUAUCGAAAUCGUGUCAUGAACGCCUUAUCAUUCUAAUCAAGAUCACAUGUAAGCUGUUGAAAUUCUGCAGCAUAGAUUACAGCAGAACGUGAUCGUUGUCGCAGAUUUUGUAUCUUUCUUUCAGCCACUCUUUCUCGAUCGCUAUCUCCAAACGCAGCAGUAAGUCUCUCUAUGAAAGCUUCUAGGUCGUACAAUAUUGGAGAAUCCUUCUCCAAUAGUGGAGUAAACCAAGAGCGAGCAUUUCCUGAUAGAAGAGUAUCUAUGAAAGUAACCUGGGUAAAUCUAUUUGGAUAACGAGAAGAGUAUAGGCAUAGGUAAAGUCGUACUUGUUGCACAAAACCUCGAAAGUUGGCUCUUGUUCCGUCAAACUUGUCUGGCAUAUUCGCUUUUGGUUCUUUCGUACUAAUCCUUGAAGUAUCUAUAAGAGUCGCAUGUGACACAUGUCUUGCUUCUCUCAGUCGAAUAAUCUCUUGUUGUAGGCUAUAAAUUUCGCGUCUAGCUUCUUCGGUCACUAGAUCAAUUUGAGGUUCUUUACUUGGAUUGCAAAGAAAUGCAAUCUCCUUUCGUACACUAUUCAUAAGAGCUUGAAGAUCUGCAAGAGUUGCCACUCUAUUGUCUACUUGUGGAGAUGCACUGUCUAUGAUCUGGUCUACUUCCAUAUUUAGAGAAUAGAUGGUUUAAAAUUUUCAGAGAAGAAGAAAUUGCUAAGUCUCUUGGAGAAAAUUGUAGCACUACCUGUCACUAAAACCUACUCGGAGAAGAGAAAAGAAAAAACACACUAAACGAUUUCAGUUUUAGAGGAGGGUAAUCCGCAAUCUCUAAAAAUACCUCAAUGCUUUCGAGAAGAGGGGUAAUCCGUACUCUAUCAAGAAGGCAAAGCUCUGAAAUCGAUGUUAACAGUCUUUUCUACUAGCUAUGCUAAACAAAAAGAAGGAAUUAAUAUCAGUCCAAGAGAGGGUAAUCCGCAACCCUUAGAACGCUCAAGUAUCUCUAAGGAAAGGGGUAGUCCACUCUCUGCCUCAAAGAACUAAGCUCUGAUAUUGUGAUUGAGAAAAUAUUAGUUUAGAGGAAGGUAAUCCGCAACCCCUAAAGCGCUAGAACAUCUUCAAGAAGAGGGGUAAUCCGCUCUCAAACAAGAAGGAUUCAGCUCUGAUAUUAAGAUAAAGGUAGUCUCGACAAACAGUCACGGACCAAAAAAUACAAACAAGAAAUGUAAACAAGAAGUUCAAGAAGAAAUGACAAGAACUAGAUUAUCAAAUGAGUACAAGAGCAACGCCAAGAGAAUUGAGCUAGAGCUUCAAGAAAUGCGUUGUCGAGACUGAAGAACUCUUCAGCCUCGACUCUUAUAUAUACUACUGGCCUAUGGUUCUAAGGAAGCGCAUCAAGAAGCUUCCCAUGAACUAUGAAGGUUCUCGAGCAACUACCCAAGAGCUAGGAAGCUUCUCAAGUAACUUCCUAGAAUCUACUAGAAUAUUCUAAGAAUCUUCUAGAGCCUUCAAAGGGAAUCUUUAGGAAAUCUUCAAAGAAUCUUUAGGGAAUAUUUGAAGAAUAUUCUAAGAGAAUAUUGAAGGAAUCUUUCUAGAAAGUUCUAAAAACUUGUCUCUAGAAAGGUCUAAGGACUAUGUCCGUAACAUCACCUCCUCCUUUAGCUUCGAGGUCUCCGAGAAGCAAUGUUAUCGUCAAUCAAUACCAACACAAGAAAAUGAAGAUCUGUCACAUAACCUCUACUAUGAACUCCAAUUGUUGUUCACGAGGCAAGUGAUUCAAUGGUCCUUGAAGCCAACGGUAGUGGCCCACGCCUUCAACUUCUGACCAAGCAUGAACCUCCGUGUCUUCAUUGUGAAAUUGUCCUGCAAACACUCCUUCUGGCUGACCAUUGUAGGCAGGCUCGACCUCAAAUACAAUCACCAGCGAUCUGUUGCUCGGAAUCCUUUGACGUCGUCGUGGUGUAGGCGGUUCUUCAUCUCGCGGUCGUCUUCGUGAGCUAGUUGCUUGAGAUGACAUGACAAGUGUAGUAUCUUGGCUAUCCAUAUUCAAAGGCUAAAAUGAUAAGAACAAACUUGGGCUACUAACAAAGUUCUACGCUAUCUUGGAGAGAAUGACUACAUCAACUAUGGAUUUUGGUGGUGCUUUCUCCUCUUUUUUGUUUUCUGGAUGAGCAAGCUUCAGUAAGAAGCUAUCGUCAAACCGGCUUGGGUUUCUCAGGAUAUCGUCGAUGAAACUCCUGUACCUUUUGCGACGCAUUUGCGAGAUUUUUGACCGGCUCC